GAUGAACGCUAGCUACAGGCUUAACACAUGCAAGUCGCGGGGCAGCAUUUUCUUAGCUUGCUAAGGGAGAUGGCGACCGGCGCACGGGUGAGUAACGCGUAUCCAACCUUCCCAUGUCCACGGGAUAGCCCGUCGAAAGGCGGAUUAAUACCGUAUGAGGUCACAAGCGGGCAUCUAAUUGUGACGAAAGGUUUAGCGGACAUGGAUGGGGAUGCGUCCGAUUAGCUAGUUGGCGGGGUAACGGCCCACCAAGGCGACGAUCGGUAGGGGUUCUGAGAGGAAGGUCCCCCANAUUGGAACUGAGACACGGUCCAAACUCCUACGGGAGGCAGCAGUGAGGAAUAUUGGUCAAUGGACGAAGUCUGAACCAGCCAAGUAGCGUGCAGGAUGACGGCCUA
rnacentral:rRNA from 1 species